UAGCUCACAAUGGCAGGCACAAAGCUCGUAUCACUGGGGCUCAUUGUCCUCAUGAGCAUAGGAUUAGCCAAUGCUGUUAGGGUGGCUAGAUACUCUAGUGCUGAUGGGACUGGCACAGGCCAGGGAGGGGGUGGUGGAUAUGUGAAUGGUGGGGGAUCAGGGUCUGGGUCUGGCACCGGAUCAGGUGAUAGUGGCCCUUAUGGUUCCCAUGCAAGUGCUGGAGGGGGCGGUGGAGGUGGUGGAACUAGCCAAUACGGUGGGUCUGGAUAUGGUUCAGGGUCAGGGUCAGGUUCAGGGUCUAGUACAUAUAGUCAAGGACGGUAUUCUGGCUAUGGAGAGUCUUCUAAUGCUGGUGGUGCCGGUGGGGGUGGGGGUGGAGGACAAGCCGGAGGUGCCUGGAAUUCCAAUGCUCAAGGAUCCGGUAGUGGCACCGGUUCUGGCUCUAGCUAUGCUAACAGGAAUUGGUAUGGAUCAAGUCAAGCAGGUGCACGUGCUAAUGGCAAUGGUGGUGGCACAGGAAAUAGUCAAAAUGGUGGCGGUGGCGGUGGUUCUGGUGCCGGAACUGGGUAUGGCAAUGCCUACCCAUAAAUUCCAUAUAAGCCAAUCUAAAGUUGGAGCCCAUCGUAGUCUUUCAUUGUUUGAAGUCAUAAAGUUGUUGGUUUUCUUUGUCCCUUUGUUGCACUUUUGUUAGCAGUAAAUUAAUAAAGGGUCCAACUGUUCUAGCAACAGUAGCAGUCUUGUAAGGUCCUUAUAUGAAGAUGUUGUAAUCAUGUCGGUUUGUGAAAGGAAAAAACAACUUGUCCAUCAUGUGGCCACUCUAUCUAAAAAAAUUCAUAUGUUCCCUUUGCAGUGAUUAAGUUGAGAGGCCUACACCAUGCAUGUUCACAUGGUUAUUAAAGUAUAUACCACUGAAUUUCCUAGAGUUGUUUAUAUCACUUAAUUACGAUAAUAACUGCAAGUGGGUCAAUCCAGCCUAGAACAUAAUUUACAAGAACUGCCACAAACCCAUUUAUGUCAAUCCAGCCUAGAACAUAAUUAGCAUUAACCGCAUGAUAAUAUAAAUACCCUAAGUGCAUAUUUAGGUGAAGGCUUUAUGUUAAGCAUUUGUGUAGCCAAAAAGGAUCAAACAACAUAGCCUAGUUUGGUGGUCAAUAUUUUCUGCAUUUAUGCAUCGUGCUUCUUCGCUCUCGUGAAUGGCUAAUCAAGGAGACAGAUUCUUCAUGUCCAGUUCUAUUCAAUAUUCGUCUUCCAUCAGUGAUCAGUCCAUAUCAUCGUACUUUUAAAUGACACAUUACAGUUCACAUUACUAUUGAUUUCUAAUGCAUAAUUUAGAUCUCAUUUACUGUGUCGCUUAAGACUUAACGCCCUAUAACAGAUUUUGGUUGAGGAGGGCAACUGAGUAGAUGAGGCAGCUCAAUUGCGUCCCGUGCGUGGCUGCUCACUGGCUCGACAUUCUUGUCCCUCGAUUGCAUGCCUUGUAGGAGGAUCACAGAGAACCAAAUGGAAGAGAGGCCAUAUCUGCUAUCUUUAGGUUUGUACUCAUCUUGUUGUUCACGUAUGGAUCACGGAUGGAUGUACUGUUUGGGUCUUCUCUAUUAUCCGAAGAGCAGGAGUCGUCCCUUAGAUUUCUUUUGUUACCUUUGUCCAUAUGGCGCCAUGCAUAAUCUCAUGGAGAAGAGGCUUUGCUAUGGGGCCCUUGGUAGUGAAGUUCCUGUUUGACUCUUCACUUGACUUGAGCUACAGUCUUCACUAUUCACCCACUCUUGAAUUUUCAUCAUGUUCUUACAUAUGUACCUGAGAAAUGUUAGGUUUCAUUCUCUUUGGCCACAAUGUUCAUCCAAAGAUCACGAGCAAUAUUUUAUUGAUAGCUUCAUUGGGUGUCAUCUUGUCAAGGUAAUUCUCUUAGAGAAUGGAGAUGACCAAGUUGUAGUGAAGUUUAUUUGAAAUUAUUUGAUGAUUUUCCUCACAUCCUCAUGUUGCUCUAGUUGCUUCAAACCUAGACCAUUAAUCUCAAUUAUAAGAAUAUUCAAACAUGAGAACACGUACUAGUGUAAUUUUUUUGUUGCAGUCUAUAGUAGUAUAUAGCCAAAACAUGUUACAGAUAUUAUCAAAAUUCAAGAAAUCGCUAUGCCAAAAUUGCCCCAUUAUAUAUAAUAUUAAGUUGCUCAAUUCAUCUACAUAUUAUGCUCGAGCUAUUGGCCAAGCAGAAUAAGUAAAAAUAAUAUUUUGAUCAAGCUUCUCAAAAAUAAAAUUUAGCACAAUCCUAGGAGAUAGCAUGAAGGUCUGUUUGAAGCUCUAUGGGCUCAUCAUAUAUCUACUAAAGUUACUCCUCUUGAGCUAUUAUAUGGACGAGAAGUUUUGUUGCCUGUUGAAGUAAAUCUAGAUGCAUAUAGAUUUGGCUAAGCAAAAUGAUCUAUCUGUUGUUAUAUAUCAUGAUUUAAUGAUGUACAAUGUCGACAAGGUAAUGAACAAAAGCCUAAAGGCUCUAAAGUAUAUUGAGAGAGACAAAGCUAGUGUUGCCUGGGCUUACAACAAGAAAGCGAAAAGUAAAUGUUGUGUAUCAUGCACCUGACGAGGCUCCACCAACAAUGUGUCAUGCAUAUCGUGCUCAGAAUUAGGGGCACCACGUCAGGCGUUCAUGUGCAAACAUGUUGUUCAGUGACGGCGGACCUAAAAGUUGGCUAGGUUGAUUUUGGCCUGCAUCAAUUGGCCAUUAGCUGAUUACCUGGUAUGGCUUUGCAAGAAUUUAGUUCACAAUGUUAUCUGGCUGCUAUCAGACAAUCUCGGCCUGACUUUCAUCCACUCUUAUCGAACUACAGCAAGUGGACACUUACGGUUCAAGCCUUCAAGUACUGUUUCCCUACUUAUUCUGCUUGCAUUGCAUUGUACUGAUUAUUUAAUCUAGUGAGUUGCCUUUCUUAUCAAGAUUUCCAGGUAUACAUAAGAGUGUAGUUCUUAUGUCCAUGACUGAAUUUGUCAAAGGCGUAGCGAAAAGCUCAGGGUCACCUGUAGUCUGCAAUGUCAACCACUGCAUGAGAGAUAGAAUCCGUUGGGUUAUUAGGGGAUGCCUGCGUUGACUUUCAAGCAUGACCGUUGAGACUUCAUGCAUGCAGGUCGUCGUUUACAAGUUUUAAUGUUAGUAUAAUGCUAAAGCCUGAUCAUAAAAGAUAUUUAAAACCCUCGGGUUACAUUAUUAUAUGGGUGAUCUUUUGAUAUUUUUUUUGCGCAUAGUAAUCUUUUGAUUUUCGUGUCACCAUCUUGUUGUGCAUGUUUAUUUCACAGUGCUGGAGAGAAUGGUUAAAGGCAGAGUCAGGGGCAUGCAUGAGAGUAUAUUAUGCAUGCCUGCUUUUUAAAAGUCUUUCAGCGGAAACAAUUUAUCCCAAGCAAAAGACAAGAAAAUGUUUAUAAGUUCAAGAGCCCAUAAUCCUUGUGAAACUAUGACCACUCUGCCUUUUGUUCUCAGGUCGGGUGAAAUGCAGGAUAUGUAUUAGAGCAUGGAUGUUGCUAGUUCUAUUAUUUUCUUUGUGGGGUCUUUAUUUGUCCAGGAACACAAUAUAUAUCGAAACCAAACAUACAAAUAAUUUUUAAGGAACUAGACCCAGCUUUCAGCUAUAUAUGAGACAAAGCAGUACAGUCACUAAAAUAUUUCACACAUUUAGUAUCAGUGAUGGUCUGAAAACCAGCAAUGACUCGAUGGGUAACUUCACUGUUUAUCGAAACGAAGAAUACAAAUAAGUGAACUACUUAAACCGGAGCAAGCAGCUUUAGUUUCAAUGGGCCUUCCAAACACUGAUGAAUGCUAAAACUUCGUGCCAUGCGUUAUCUCUGGACAUGAGACUUAGCUGACCAUCUAG
rnacentral:lncRNA from 1 species